rnacentral:rRNA from 1 species
AGAGUUUGAUCCUGGCUCAGAAUGAACGCUGGCGGCGUGCUUAACACAUGCAAGUCGUGCGCGAAGGUGGCUUCGGCCACCGGAGAGCGGCGAACGGGUGAGUAACACGUGGGUAAUCUGCCUAGGGGUGGGGGAUAACCUGGGGAAACCCGGGCUAAUACCGCAUCCGUUGCCGGGACCUCGGUCCUAGCAGGAAAGCUGGCCUCUACUUGUAAGCUAGCGCCCCUAGAGGAGCCCGCGGCUGAUUAGCUAGUUGGUGGGGUAAUGGCCCACCAAGGCAACGAUCAGUAGCCGGCCUGAGAGGGUGAUCGGCCACACUGGGACUGAGACACGGCCCAGACUCCUACGGGAGGCAGCAGUGGGGAAUAUUGGACAAUGGGCGCAAGCCUGAUCCAGCAACGCCGCGUGGAGGAUGAAGGUCUUCGGAUCGUAAACUCCUGUCAGGCGGGACGAACGGACGUCGGCAAAUAGUCGACGUCCUUGACGGUACCGCCAGAAGAAGCCCGGCUAACUCCGUGCCAGCAGCCGCGGUAAUACGAGGGGGCGAGCGUU